rnacentral:rRNA from 1 species
UACGGAGAGUGCGACCGUUGUUCGGAUUCACUGGGCGUAAAGGGCACGUAGGCGGCUCGGCAAAUCGGUCGUGGAAUCCCGACGCUUACCGUCGGAACGGCGGCCGAAAAUACCGGGCUCGAGGGCGUGAGGGGUCACUGGAACUCCUGGUGAAGCGGUGAAAUGCGUAGAUAUCAGGAGGAACGCCGGAGGCGAAAGCGACGGACUGGACCUCUUCUGACGCUGAGGCGCGAAAGCCAGGGGAGCAAACGGG